UACGGGGGGGGCAAGCGUUGUUCGGAAUUACUGGGCGUAAAGGGCUCGUAGGCGGUCAACUAAGUCAGACGUGAAAUCCCUCAGCUUAACUGGGGAACUGCGUGUGAUACUGGAUGGCUUGGAUUUGGGAGAGGGAUGCGGAAUUCCAGGUGUAGCGGUGAAAUGCGUAGAUAUCUGGAGGAACACCGGUGGCGAAGGCGGCAUCCUGGACCAAUAUUGACGCUCAGGAGCGAAAGCCAGGGGAGCAAACGGG
rnacentral:rRNA from 1 species